GAUGAACGCUGGCGGCGUGCCUAACACAUGCAAGUCGAGCGAUCUUCUUCGGAAGAGAGCGGCGGACGGGUGAGUAACGCGUGGGUAACCUGCCCUGUACACACGGAUAACAUACCGAAAGGUAUGCUAAUACGAGAUAAUAUACUUUUAUCGCAUGGUAGAAGUAUCAAAGCUCCGGCGGUACAGGAUGGACCCGCGUCUGAUUAGCUAGUUGGUAAGGUAACGGCUUACCAAGGCGACGAUCAGUAGCCGACCUGAGAGGGUGAUCGGCCACAUUGGAACUGAGACACGGUCCAAACUCCUACGGGAGGCAGCAGUGGGGAAUAUUGCACAAUGGGCGAAAGCCUGAUGCAGCAACGCCGCGUGAGCGAUGAAGGCCUUCGGUCGUAAAGCUCUGUCCUCAGAAGAUAAUGACGGUACUUGAGGAGGAAGCCCCGGCUAACUACGUGCCAGCAGCCGCGGUAAACGUAGCGUG
rnacentral:rRNA from 1 species